rnacentral:lncRNA from 1 species
GCCCGCCCCGCCUCCGCGCGCGGCCCUCCCCGGCUCAGUGCCCGGCGCUGCCGGGAAGCGGGCAGAGGGGCGCACCGGGCGGCGGGCGGGGACCUGGGGAAGGCCGGGAGCGCGGGGACUGAGGACGCACGCGGCGGGCCGGGCGGCGCGCGCCUCCCCCCUCCCCCGAGGCCCGAGCGCGAGUCGCCGUGACGUCACUGGCCACCCGCCAGCCCCGCGCUCCUCCGGGCAGAGCGCGUGUGGCCGCCGAGCACAUGGGCCCGCGGGCCGAGCGGGCUCAGGGAGGCCGGGACGAGGAGGGGCGACGAGGAGCUGCGAGCAAGGAUGUGCCUCGGGACCCCCCCGCACCUUCCCGUGGAUUUCCUUGCGGAAAGGAUGUUGACGGUCCCUGUGACCUGUGGAGACACGGCCAGAUCUGCCCUCCAGAGGAAAACCUUCCUGGAAGCUGCAGAAGGACAAAUGCAGAAUCCAUGUCUGGGAGAAACCUCGUGGCCUGGUCUCCAUUAUUUGAGAUGAGUUACAUCUUGGAGGCCUGAUCUUUUGGCCAGAAGGAGAUUAAAAAGAUGCCCCUCAAGAUGGCUGUGCCUGUCAGCUGCAUGGAGCUUCGCUCGAGGAUUUUCUGAGCCUGAUGGAUUUACAGUGAUCUUCGGUCGUCUGAGGAAUAACUCUGGUGGAACAAUGCACUGGAAUGACAUACGCCCUGCACAUUUCAGGAUACUAAAAGUGGUUUUAAAGGAGGCCCUGGAUGAAUGCCUCAUGGAUUCUUACAGCUUGGAUGUCCAUGCGGGAGGAAGGACCGCAGCUGGCUGUGAGGACUGAGAUCUCUGUUUACUUGGGUCUCUGCCAACUUCCUUUGGGUCCCCCUAUGGAAUGUAAGACCCCGACUCUUCCUGGUGAAGCAUCUGAUGCAUGUUCCGUCCGGCGCUCAGCUGGGCUUGAGCUGACCACACUCCCUGGAGCCUUCUCCCGAGGUGGCGCAGGUGUCCUUGGCACAUACAGCUAUGGUGAUGGUACUUUAAGUGGAGGCUGAAUCAUUUCCCCUUUGAGCUGCAUGGCACAUGGCUCCCUUGGUGUUCCCAUUUUAUAGCCAGGACACAGAUUUGGAGAGGUAAGUGGCUUACCGGAGGCCGUGUGCUAACAGAGAAGAUGAAGAGAUGAUUGAAGCAGGCCUGAGGGUCUAUACAUUUUCCACAUACUUUCCAUAUC